rnacentral:rRNA from 1 species
AUGGAUGGUGCGGACGUCACCUUCCACGUCGGCAGGGACAAGUUCCCGGCCCAUAGGUCCGUGCUCGCUGCUCGCUCCUCGGUCUUCAAGGCCGAGCUCUUGGGCUCCAUGAAGGAGAAUGCCGGCGAUCCGCUUGUAGAGAUCAAGGAUAUGGAGAGCGACGUGUUCAAGUCAUUGCUGCAUUUCAUAUACACGGACGACUCGCCGUCUGAGAUGGCCUGUGAAGACGCGGUGAUGGCUGGCCAUUUACUCGUUGCGGCUGACAGGUACGAUGUCAAGAGGUUGAAACUGAUAUGCGAGGACAAGUUGUGCAAACACAUUGACUCCAACACCGUGGCGACUAGCUUAGCUUUAGCUGAACAACAUAGUUGCCCUGGACUAAAGGAAGCUUGCUUUGGGUUCCUUGCCUCUUCUUCCAAUUUUGAGGCUAUGGUGGCAAGUGAUGGUUAUGAGCAUCUGAAGAGCAGUUGCCCGUCCGUUCUCAAGGAGCUGAUUGCUAGAUUCCUGCCCGCUGAGCUAAAAGCGGCCAAGGAUAUCAUCAUGAAAUUUUAA